GUUCAUCGGAAGUUCUACAGUGCUUGCGCCAGAAAGACGUCGGUGCCUCGGUACCUUUGAGACGAAGGAGCGUUGGCCAAGUCUUUUUGAAAGGCUAUGCGGAUUCUGGAGGCAUCCCUGCAUCGAGCAGGAACCUGCUGCACUGCUGGAAGCUGGACAGCACGACAAUAAAGCACGUGAUCUGUGCGCUUUCUCAAAGGUAGACAUCGGCGACGGUGUAUAUGUUGAAAAGGGCCUGCUGAAGAGGCUGCGCCUGGAUGCUAACAACUCGGGCUUUCAGUUUGCGGGGGGCCUCCUUAAGGCUCCUUUUACAAAAGAAGAGGUUGAAGGGAGGCGCUACACAUGGAUGCGCAGCGAUUGUUUGUGACAGCGUCACUGCUGGCAGGCCUGGCCUGCCUUUUCGCUUUGUUCUGGGUCUUCCACGUUAUCUACUCGAAAAAGGCCCACAGGAUUUUGACAUUUAUUGAGCACUGCUUUCUGGAUUUUUGCUACACAAAGCCGCAGGUGAAAGCAUUGGAUUUCGUCAAUUUUUACAAGAACUAUUGCUAGGCAAAAAAAUUUUCAGAUGCAUAUCCUCAAGAAAGUUUCUGUCAAAAUUAUUUUGCCUAACAAAAGCACUCGUGGGUUCUGUGGCUGACAGGUUGCCCAAGCCAUGUAGCACAGUGCUUGCUUUGAAGGGACACGAAAAAGAAAAUUUAUUUGAGCUUUAUUAAAUCAUUCUUCUACAACACCGAAAAAAAAACUCCCACCAUGAGAAUUGGCUUGAUAAGCCAGAUAACUUGCAAAAACGAAAACUGGUGUCGCCACCACCACCUUAUAGUUCCUGCACCAGCUCGCUGUGAUAUGGAAUUUGACGGUGUCUGUUCGGGUCUAGCUAAUGUUCUACUGGCCAAUAUUGAUGAAUUCUGUUGUAAAGGUGUCAAAGAAUAUACUUAGUUGAAGUAUGACUCCACACUGAUGUGCGGACACUGCAUAAAACUUGAAAAAUGAAAGUUAAAUCUUCAUUUUCUCAUCUAAUAAUCCGC